rfam:Camelus ferus unplaced genomic scaffold scaffold1402, whole genome shotgun sequence.
GAGGGCACAGCUCAGUGGUAGAGCACAUGCUUAGCAUGCUAGAGGUCCUGGGUUGAAUCCCCAGUACCUCCA